rnacentral:misc_RNA from 1 species
GAUGAAGAACGCAGCGAAAUGCGAUAAGUAAUGUGAAUUGCAGAAUUCAGUGAAUCAUCGAAUCUUUGAACGCACAUUGCGCCCGCCAGUAUUCUGGCGGGCAUGCCUGUUCGAGCGUCAUUUCAACCAUCAAGCCCCCGGCUUGUGUUGGGGACCUGCGGCUGCCGCAGGCCCUGAAAAGCAGUGGCGGGCUCGCUGUCACACCGAGCGUAGUAGCAUACAUCUCGCUCUGGGCGUGCUGCGGGUUCCGGCCGUUAAACCACCUUCAUAACCGAAGGUUGACCUCGGAUCAGGUAGGAAGACCCGCUGAACUUAAGCAUAUCAAUAAGCGGAGGA